AGGUGGAAGCAUUGCUGGAUGACGGAGUUGGUCAACUGAGUGGGGCAGAGAGAACCUUUCUCCAGGGCCACAGAUGUCUUAGUUUUGGUCUACAUGUCAAGCUGAAGCAGGAACAAAAAAGGGAAGCCUCUUUGCUAUGCAGAACGCCAUCACUUUAUUAACUCCAAACACAAGACUAAGGGCCACUUGUCUUUAAACCCUGAGUCUUGAGGCUUUAAGGAGGACACCAGCACCCUGUUCACAUUGACCUACUUUAUCUGGGAGCCAUUUCCAUUUGACAAUGAGGACAUGAAACUCAGAGGUCUCAGAAGCCUUAUAGGAGCUUGUCAACCUUUCUCCUGAGAGCUGGCUUCACUGUAUGGCUAUUCCAGCUGGUGUUAUGUGAUGGUUGUAUCAGGCCGCUGGUGGGAUAAUUCUGCAUCCCCUUAAUCAGGU